rnacentral:rRNA from 1 species
UACAGAGGGGGCAAGCGUUGUUCGGAAUUACUGGGCGUAAAGGGCGCGUAGGCGGCCUGUUAAGUCGAACGUGAAAUCCCCGGGCUCAACCCGGGAACUGCGUCCGAUACUGGCAGGCUUGAAUCCGGGAGAGGGAUGCGGAAUUCCAGGUGUAGCGGUGAAAUGCGUAGAUAUCUGGAGGAACACCGGUGGCGAAGGCGGCAUCCUGGACCGGCAUUGACGCUGAGGCGCGAAAGCCAGGGGGAGCAAAACGGGG